rnacentral:rRNA from 1 species
GCAGUGACGGUAUCUAACCAGAAAGUCACGGCUAACUACGUGCCAGCAGCCGCGGUAAUACGUAGGUGGCAAGCGUUAUCCGGAUUUAUUGGGCGUAAAGCGAGCGCAGGCGGUUUGAUAAGUCUGAUGUGAAAGCCUUUGGCUUAACCAAAGAAGUGCAUCGGAAACUGUCAGACUUGAGUGCAGAAGAGGGCAGUGGAACUCCAUGUGUAGCGGUGGAAUGCGUAGAUAUAUGGAAGAACACCAGUGGCGAAGGCGGCUGCCUGGUCUGCAACUGACGCUGAGGCUCGAAAGCAUGGGUAGCGAACAGGAUUAGAUACCCUGGUAGUCCAUGCCGUAAACGAUGAGUGCUAGGUGUUGGAGGGUUUCCGCCCUUCAGUGCCGCAGCUAACGCAUUAAGCACUCCGCCUGGGGAGUACGACCGCAAGGUUGAAACUCAAAGGAAUUGACGGGGGCCCGCACAAGCGGUGGAGCAUGUGGUUUAAUUCGAAGCUACGCGAAGAACCUUACCAGGUCUUGACAUCUUGCGCCAACCCUAGAGAUAGGGCGUUUCCUUCGGGAACGCAAUGACAGGUGGUGCAUGGUCGUCGUCAGCUCGUGUCGUGAGAUGUUGGGUUAAGUCCCGCAACGAGCGCAACCCUUGUUACUAGUUGCCAGCAUUCAGUUGGGCACUCUAGUGAGACUGCCGGUGACAAACCGGAGGAAGGUGGGGACGACGUCAGAUCAUCAUGCCCCUUAUGACCUGGGCUACACACGUGCUACAAUGGACGGUACAACGAGUCGCGAACUCGCGAGGGCAAGCUAAUCUCUUAAAACCGUUCUCAGUUCGGACUGCAGGCUGCAACUCGCCUGCACGAAGUCGGAAUCGCUAGUAAUCGCGGAUCAGCAUGCCGCGGUGAAUACGUUCCCGGGCCUUGUACACACCGCCCGUCACACCAUGAGAGUUUGCAACACCCAAAGUCGGUGGGGUAACCCUUCGGGGAGCUAGCCGCCUAAGGUGGGGCAGAUGAUUAGGGUGAAGUCGUAACAAGGUAGCCGUAGGAGAACCUGCGGCUGGAUCACCUCCUUUCUAAGGAA